AAUAGCCAUAGUAUUGUGGGAAACCAGCUGACUUGGGCAUGUGAUCAUGUGACGGUUUCCAAUCAGGAAGUGAUAAAAAGCUCACCAGGUGCAGUCAUUAGUCCCUUACCUCUCACUGAGUGCACUGCGUUUGUGUGGAUUCUCCAGGUAUGAAAAUGUUUGGCUGCGGUAAUUUGGGGAACAAGUACAGCUUAAGGUUGAUUUCUGAUUUUUGGUCCCACUGUGAUAGCCAGGCACAAGUUCCCGUCCUUCACGGAGUGAACUGGGGCAGAUUGACGUUUGCUACUGACAAAUGAGCUGCUGUGGCUGUAGAGCUCCGGAAAAUACUCCUCCUCCUGCAUUAACUGUGCUAUAGGAGUUUGUGUCCUUGCAAAGAGGACCAGUCCAGUCAAUGUUUUCUACGUUUAUUUUACCAUUUUGUUUCUUUUGGUUAUUUGCCUUGGUUGAUUAUUUUCUUGUGAUUUCAUUUACAAGUGGUCUUUAGAUAUACUUUUUAUGGACGUUUUGGCAUAGGUUUCUCUCCUCAAUUUAUGUCUGCUCACAGCUUGAUCCUGUACAAGGCUGGGGUCCGUGUCGACACACUGCCUCCUCGUGGUGAGACUGUACUGGGUGACACUCUGUUACGGUGUGUAUGUAGCCUCGACACUGUAGAUUUUGUAGUGACUUGCAUGAUAUUUUGUAGUGACUUGCGUGAUAUUUUGUAGUGAUUUGCAUGAUAUUUGUAGUGAAUCGUGUAGAAAUAAGUGUGUAGCGCGUGUCCUUGUUGGUGCUGGGCCUUCUGUCUCCUUCUGUCUCCUACAGUCCUCUCCCGGAGAGGUGUGCGCGUGCCGACCCGACCUUCCUACUUUGAGGAGAUGGGAUGUAGGUCCUCCAUGGAUGGGAGCUCCGUCCUGGGGAUGUGCUGAGCACAUUUCAUCACCCUCUGUAGAGCCUUACCUUGUAUGUCGUGAAGCUGCAGUGAGCCAGAGCAAGCUUUGGUUGGCCGACUGUGGGAGAGGAAACGAGGACGCUGUGUGGUGGGCUGGACAGUGCAAAGUUUUGCCCUCGCGACCGAGAGCCUCGGGCCAAGUGGGAGCGAGGGAGCUCC